rnacentral:rRNA from 1 species
ACAGCAGUAGCCGCGGGAAUACGUAGGUGGCAAGCGUUGUCCGGAUUUAUUGGGCGUAAAGCGAGCGCAGGCGGUCAAUUAAGUCUGAUGUGAAAGCCCCCGGCUCAACCGGGGAGGGUCAUUGGAAACUGGUUGACUUGAGUGCAGAAGAGGAGAGUGGAAUUCCAUGUGUAGCGGUGAAAUGCGUAGAUAUAUGGAGGAACACCAGUGGCGAAGGCGACUCUCUGGUCUGUAACUGACGCUGAGGCUCGAAAGCGUGGGUAGCAAACAGGAUUAGAUACCCCAGUAGUCCCUGUCUCUUAUAC